UGUAAAAUGAAUUCAUAAUAUUUUCCUGUAUUUAGCGGUUUCACUUGAAGUAAAUUUAAUCAGAGAAAAUAAAGAACCCUAUUUUUCCACAAUGAAAAGCCUUACUGUGAAAUACACCAUCACAGGCAGUGUAGGGUUUACGCAGCGAGCUCUGAGACACUUUCUCUUUAUUAUUAUGGCGGCAUUUUAAUAAGAAGGAGAAGAAGAAGAUGUGGAUGAGAGCAGUGCUCAGUAAAUUCAAUUCAGUUUUAUUCACAUAGAGCUUUUAACCAUAAACACUGUCACAGAGCAGCUUCACACAAAUCCGGAUGUAGAUUUAGAUCACGACUAAACUCAAUAAAUCCAGAGGCAACAGUAGCAAGAAAAAACUCCCUGAGAUGACACGAGGAAGGAACCGCAAGAGGACCCUGUCAUCUUCAGCGUGAAACCAGAUACUGUGAUUAUAAAUCAUUACAAUAUACAGGUGUGGAAGAGUAAAGGGAGUGUGUGUGUGUGUACAGGUGUGGAAGAGUAAAGGGAGUGUGUGUGUGUGUACAGGUGUGGGAGAGUAAAGGGAGUGUGUGUGUGUGUGUGUACAGGUGUGGAAGAGUAAAGGGAGUGUGUGUGUGUGUGU
ensembl:lncRNA